AGUGAACGCUGGCGGUAGGCCUAACACAUGCAAGUCGAACGGCAGCACAGUAAGAGCUUGCUCUUACGGGUGGCGAGUGGCGGACGGGUGAGGAAUACAUCGUAAUCUACUUUUUCGUGGGGGAUAACGUAGGGAAACUUACGCUAAUACCGCAUACGACCUACGGGUGAAAGCAGGGGAUCUUCGGACCUUGCGCGAUUGAAUGAGCCGAUGUCGGAUUAGCUAGUUGGCGGGGUAAAGGCCCACCAAGGCGACGAUCCGUAGCUGGUCUGAGAGGAUGAUCAGCCGCAAUGGAACUGAGACACGGUCCAGACUCCUAAGGGAGGCAGCAGUGGGGAAUAUUGGGCAAUGGGCGCAAACCUGAGCCAGCCAUACCGCGUGGGUGAAGAAGGCCUUCGGGUUGGAAAGCCCUUUUGUUGGGUAAGAAAAGCAGCAGGUUAAUACGACGCUGUACUGACGGUACCCAAAGAAUAAGCACCGGCUAACUUCGUG
rnacentral:rRNA from 1 species